rnacentral:rRNA from 1 species
ACUCCUACGGGAGGCAGCAGUGGGGAAUAUUGGACAAUGGGCGAAAGCCUGAUCCAGCCAUGCCGCGUGUGUGAAGAAGGCCUUAGGGUUGUAAAGCACUUUAAGCAGGAAAGAAAAGCGCCGGAUUAAUACUCCGAGCGUAUUGACGGUACCUGCAGAAUAAGCACCGGCUAACUCCGUGCCAGCAGCCGCGGUAAUACGGAGGGUGCAAGCGUUAAUCGGAAUUACUGGGCGUAAAGCGUGCGUAGGCGGUUGCGUGUGUCGGAUGUGAAAGCCCCGGGCUCAACCUGGGAAUUGCAUUCGAAACUGCGUGACUAGAAUGUGGUAGAGGAAGACGGAAUUCCACGUGUAGCGGUGAAAUGCGUAGAUAUGUGGAGGAACACCAAUGGCGAAGGCAGUCUUCUGGGCCAACAUUGACGCUGAGGUACGAAAGCGUGGGUAGCAAACAGGAUUAGAUACCCUGGUAGGAUAGCGU